AAAAAAAAAAAAAAAAAAGAAUCAAAGCUUUAAAAUCCAGCAGAAGUAAAAUUUCCAAGUGGGAGGGAAGAGGAUCAACAGGAGAAUCUGCAAGAGUAAAAGAGGAAGAAGAUGUGUGCUGCAUGGCACAAAAUGAAUCUGCAAAGCAUCUGGGAACUGCAGACCCUACUGAUGCCUGGAACUCACUGGAGUCAGCAUGUCCAGGCAGUCAUUGUAGCAAGUCAGAGUGGUGUGAUGAAAUGCUUCAGGAGAAAAACAUUUCACCACAGCCUGGUUCACUCAGAUACCUUGCCAGGGAACCAACAUCUCACUCGGGCCUCUGAUAUUGUAACUGUGGGCCUUUAAGAAACAACGGAAAACCCAACUGAAUAAAAACUGACCUCCUUUGUGGCUGCCCUGAUGGAAGGGGCUCAGGAGCAACAGCCUUCAUGGUGCCCACCCUCUGGGCCAGAACAACGGAUGCCCCACAACUGAGUUUAGUGCCUCCAAGAACCACAGCUUUUUUUUGCAGCAGUAAGAGCAUACCUCUGAGGCACUGUGAAGAAUCUGAUAGUCGAACUGAAUGAAGCCAAGUCCAGUCUUUACGGAAAAAUUUACACAACACUUCCAGAUCUAUUUCCUCCUAAAAUUUUUAGAAUCUCCAAAGCGAUGUCCUUUUGUACACUAAUGAGUUGACUGAUGACUGACAGCCCCUAUGUAGCUUCAAGAUGGAGACUGGUCACUGGCAAGACCAAGAAAUCAUUAUAGGAUUGGGAUGGUUACAAGAAAGACCAAGAAAUCAUUAUAGGAUUGGGACUUUCAGCCUACCCCAUAACCUCUGGGGAAAAGAAAGGGGCUGACAGUUAAGUUGAUCACCAAUGGCUUAGUUUAAUCAAUCAUGCCUAUGUAAUAAAACCUCUGUAAAAGCCCAAAAAGGCAGUGUUCAGAGAGCUUCUGGAUAGCUGAACACGUGGAGGUUCCUGGGAGGGCAUGGAAGCUCCAUGCCCCCUCCUCCAUACUUCAUAUGCAUCUCUUCAUCUAUAUCCUUUGUAAUGUCCUUUGUAAUAAACUGAUAAACAAAUAUU
rnacentral:lncRNA from 1 species